rnacentral:rRNA from 1 species
ACUGCUCAGUAACACGUCGAUAAUCUGCCCUUAGGUUCAGGAUAACCUCGGGAAACUGAGGCUAAAACUGAAUAUAAGAUUGGUGCUGGAAUGCUCUUUCUUUGAAACGUAAGGCCUAAGGAUGAGUCGGCGGCUGAUUAGGCUGUUGGUGAGGUAAAGGCUCACCAAACCUAGAAUCAGUGGGGGAGAUGAGAGUCUUGGCCCCGAGAAGGACACUGAGAUACUGGUCCUAGCCCUAAGGAGUGCAGCAGUCACGGAAACUUUACAAUGCGCGAAAGCGUGAUAGGGGGAUUCCAAGUGCUUUGCCAAUGGUAAGGCUUUUGCCAAGUGUAAGGAGCUUGGCGAAUAAGUGGUGGGUAAGACUGGUGCCAGCCGCCGCGGUAACACCAUGCGCCACAAGUGGUAGCCAUUUUUAUUGGGUCUAAAGCGUUCGUAGCCGGUUUAGUAAAUUUCGUGUGAAAUUGUCUGGCUUAACCAAACGGUGUGCACAAAACACUGCUAAACUUGAGACCGGGAGGAGUUAGAGGUAUUCUGGGGGGAGCGGUAAAAUGUUAUAAUCCCCAGAGGACCACCAGUGGCGAAGGCUUCUAACUAGAACGGUUCUGACGGUGAGGAACGAAGGCCAGGGGAGCAAAACGGAUUAGAUACCCGAGUAGUCCUGGCAGUAAACGCUGCGUGCUGAGUGGUGCAAAUUCUUCGUGGAUUUGCAACGCCUAAGCGAAGGUGUUAAGCACGCCACCUGGGAAGCAUAGUCGCAAGACCGAAACUUAAAGGAAUUGGCGGGGGAGCAC